rnacentral:lncRNA from 1 species
CUGAGUCAAAGCAAAUUUUCAAUGGAUCUUACACAAAAGGAGUCUGAGCAGCAUGUAAUUUGCUCAGAAAAAAUACUGGAGACUGUAGAGAACAUCAAUAGAGAAGUGUUGAGGACAUAGAAAUACAAAACUGAUGAAUAUAGGCAAAGUGGGAUCACCUCCAAUGUUGUGAUGGCACAGCUGCAUCUGGGGAUAAUGAAAAUCAGCUAUGUUCUACCUAACACUGGUCAGGGUGGGUGAGCUUUGAAGAUGCUGUUCUAUGCUGCAUCUAGAGAUCCUGGAGAUAGGGCUAAGACAACUACUGUUUUGCUGCACUGCAAGCUGUUGUUAUGCUGCAGGAAGUUCUUCAGAGGUAUUACUCCAGAAAAUAAUCAACUGAAUCGAUGGGCCUUCUUACUCAAUAUGAGGAAUGGGGAGCAGUGUAAAUUUUUCCAUUGGACAGAAGAUAUUUUCAUUGACAUUUAUUUGACUGGAAAAUAAGCUGGGACAUCUCUGUGGCUGUUUUGCAGGUCCUCACCUCUGGCUUGUAACGUACUGCAUGGACAGCGUGAGCCUGAGUGAACUGUGAACCAUUUUAACUCUAACAUGAAAUUCAUCAUGUUACUUGAAUCCUCUUUUUGUGUGUGUGUGUGUGUGUGUGACAGUUUAUUUAAAACAAACAAGCAAAACUUAAUCUGGCUUGCAAUGUUUCAGUAGCAUUUAUACACUUUGGCGCUGUGGAAAUGCAGCUUUCUUAGAAACACAGACCAAGGAAUUAAUUUUCUUUCAUGGGAUACUGUUUCUUAACCACCCGUAAUAUUUUUUAUGUUAAACAUAUGGCUUUGUUCCUGUUAGCUCAGAGGAUAGAAACUGGUUGUUAAGGCUAUCUAUUUGUCACUUUUUGGCUAUUCAAACAAAUCUACGUGACAUGUCAAUCUGCUUAAAAUUCUAGAACCUGCAAUUUUUCUUAGUGAUACUGAACUUCCAUAAUCUAAUUCUUCUCUUACAUUUUUCCACUCCAGCCCUCCCCAGAAUCUAAAAACUGUUUGUUAGUGGUGUAACUAAAAGACUACAGACUCUAUGCAACCCAAUGCUUCUAGUCAACCUAAAUGAUCAUCUAGCUGUUUGCAAGCGGUGUGCUAUAUCUGUACUAAUGUAUGCAGGUUAAUGGAAAGAAAGAAAGAUAGAUGAAUAAAUGAUUACUAGAUGACA